CCUACGGGUGGCAGCAGUGAGGAAUAUUGGUCAAUGGGCGGAAGCCUGAACCAGCCAAGUCGCGUGCAGGAUGACGGCCCUACGGGUUGUCAACUGCUUUUAUACGGGAAUAACGCGCCUUACGUGUAGGGGUUUGCAUGUACCGUAUGAAUAAGGACCGGCUAAUUCCGUGCCAGCAGCCGCGGUAAUACGGAAGGUCCGUGGGUUAUCCGGAUUUAUUUGGUGUAAAGGGAGCGUAGGCCGCAUGUCAAGCGUGCUGUGAAAUGUCCGGGCUCAACCCGGGCCUUGCAGCGCGAACUGGCGUGCUUGAGUCCGCGGAAAGCAGGCGGAAUUCGUCGUGUAGCGGUGAAAUGCUUAGAUAUGACGAAGAACCCCGAGUGCGAAGGCAGCUUGCUGCAGCGGAACUGACGCUGAUGCGCGAAAGCGCGGGUAUCGAACAGGAUUAGAUACCCGGGUAGUC
rnacentral:rRNA from 1 species